rnacentral:rRNA from 1 species
CCUACGGGUGGCAGCAGUGAGGAAUAUUGGUCAAUGGGCGGAAGCCUGAACCAGCCAAGUCGCGUGAGGGAUUAAGGCCCUGCGGGUCGUAAACCUCUUUUGCCGGGGAGCAGAGGUCCGGACGUGUCCGGGCCGGGAGAGUACCCGGAGAAAAAGCAUCGGCUAACUCCGUGCCAGCAGCCGCGGUAAUACGGAGGAUGCGAGCGUUAUCCGGAUUUAUUGGGUUUAAAGGGUGCGUAGGCGGGCAUUUAAGCCGGCGGUCAAAUGUCGGGGCUCAACCCCGGCCUGCCGUCGGAACUGGGUGCCUUGAGUGGGCGAGAAGUAUGCGGAAUGCGUGGUGUAGCGGUGAAAUGCAUAGAUAUCGAGAGGAACACUCGUGGCGAAGGCGGGUUCCUGGACAUUAACUGACGCUGAGGCACGAAGGCCAGGGGAGCGAAAGGGAUUAGAUACCCGAGUAGUC